UACGUAGGGGGCAAGCGUUGUCCGGAUUUAUUGGGCGUAAAGAGCGUGUAGGCGGCCAUGUAGGUCCGGUGUGAAAACUCGAGGCUUAACCUCGAGAUGUCAUCGGAAACCAUUUGGCUAGAGUCCGGAAGAGGAGAGUGGAAUUCCCGGUGUAGCGGUGAAAUGCGCAGAUAUCAGGAAGAACACCCGUGGCGAAGGCGGCUCUCUGGGACGGUACUGACGCUGAGACGCGAAAGCGUGGGGAGCGAACAGG
rnacentral:rRNA from 1 species